ACACCUUCACCUUCACCAACGCCCGCCCACCCUCACACCAGAUCCAAAAAACCACAAGAGACGAUAAUAUUAUUGGAUGAUGAUAUUUACGGCCGACACUAUAUCCUCCCUCAACCCACACCAAAGCUAGCACAGUGACAGAGAGUAUUGAUAGAGGGACUGCGAGGGAGCCACUGUCUAAUGGAGGGGCAAAGAUAAGAGGAUCGUCUUUGAAGAGAUCUUCAGCCAUUUUCCACCGAGGAAGACAGCUCAGUUUGAAGAGACGGCAGAAUCACAAGACAAUUUGUUCAGUGAUGAUGAGGAUGGUCCUGAUUAUGAUACGCUGGAGCCUGUUGUCAUGGAUACGUUGUCAGAGGGUGCUCCUCGAGUUCUCAGUAGCAUUGCAUACUGAGAAACAAGAGCACCAGCUGCCAACUCCCAAUCUGAGGAAUAGGCUAUCUACGCUAACAAUCAGCACACUUGACUUGGUGCCCAUGGCAACGCUGGUCAGAGGUGGGAGUCGUACUGGCAGACACAGACACUGCUCAGAUCACACCCAUCACGCCCACCACAGCAGCACAACUGACGGCACUAGUGGAACAGUGCACUGACUGUAUUUGACUCACAUCUUAGUUAUGCUAUUACUUUUACGUAAAGUUCAUAAAUUCGUUCAAUCAAUAAACAAUAUACACAUAUAUACUGG